CUCUACCUCCAACUCUUCCCCUCCCUCUGUUCUCUUUUGGCCCCAAAACCCUAGCGUCCCUCAGCUUAAACCCUUACUUCCUGUCAAAAUCAAAAGGAGGUUUUUUGGAUUGAAGAAGAAACAACAGCCGUUGAUACUAAUAUUAGUGCUACAAUAUGGAAUCGUCGCAAGCUCGGGCUUUUACAAAGCUGAUGAAGAUUUUAACUUUGAAGCCGCAUCACCCCAUUUCAGGAGCAUCGCCUUCACUUUCUCUCCUGCAAACGCGCCUUUUCAGUGAUAUGAGAGGACCUUUCAGAGACAACGACCCUAUCAGUUUUAACAGCAAUGGAGAUGGUGACAAGCCUCCAGAGCCUAUUCCCAACAGACCCUUAGAGGGUCAAAGGCCUUUCCAUCCCUCUUUUAGAGAAACCAAAGGAACCACCCUGAAAGGUAAUGGUUCCUCUUUUCAAUCUCUCAAUACCAAAUUUGCUUCUGUUCCUAACAGGAGGAGAGAGGAUUCUCAAUCUGAUGAAAAUUUCCUGGAAAAAUUCAAGCUUGGGCUUGACAACAAGAGAGGAAAACAGCCCUCAGAUUCAGAAGCUGCAGCCCUGUUACGUAGAAAAGAGCAAGAAGAAAAGCCUUCCCCGCCACAGGAUGCUGAUGAGAUCUUCAAGAAAAUGAAGGAGACUGGUCUUAUCCCCAAUGCCGUAGCCAUGCUUGAUGGGCUCUGUAAAGAUGGUCUUAUCCAAGAAGCAAUGAAGCUCUUCGGAUCAAUGCGGGAGAAAGGUACAAUCCCAGAAGUUGUUAUAUACACAGCUGUUGUUGAUGGCUUCUGCAAAGCCCAUAAGCUUGAUGAUGCAAAGAGAAUUUUCAGGAAGAUGCAAUCUAAAGGUGUAACUCCUAAUUCCUUUAGUUAUACUGUAUUGAUUCAAGGAUUGUAUAGAUGUAACAAAUUGGAUGACGCCAUUGAGUUUUGCUUGGAGAUGCUUGAAGCGGGACAUUCCCCCAAUGUGACCACAUUUGUGGGCUUGGUUGAUGGAUUGUGUAAGGAGAAGGGUGUGGAAGAAGCACAGAGUGUUAUUGGAACUUUAAAACAAAAGGGAUUUGUCCUUAAUGAUAAAGCUGUUAGACAAUUUCUGGACAAGAAGGCACCUUUUUCACCUUUGGUUUGGGAAGCAAUAUUUGGGAAGAAACCCUCUCAGAAAAUAUUUUAAACUUUUUUUUCCUUACUGUUAGGCUCAUAACUUUUAAUGAUGCCUUAAAAUGCAAGAAGGAAACAAAAGGAAAGGAGGACAGCAAAUAGCUACAAGUCUACAACAAUGUCAAGGUUUUGUGGGUAGAAUGACAAAAAUGAGGGCAAUGGUGGAGGUAGCAGGGGCCAGGGGAUGAUGGCUUAGCUAUUAGCAUAUCUAAAGAAUAAGAAGUAAAGAUUCAACACAGGAGAACGACAAGGCCUUUCCGGGGGUGGAAGCAAUCCCUUGGAAGAAAGGAGAUGGUCAAACAAGUUGGUGUGGAUUAGUGACAGUAGUGGGUCUGAUAGAGUAGAGAAAGCAAAGGAAGCAGUGGAGGCAUUGAUUAUAGCAUUAGCAGGCAUUAGUGGCGGUGGGGAAUCUCUCAGGAGUGAAGAGCCUUAGCAUUUUGGUGUUGUAUGCAUCUUGGAAGAUCCCCAGCUUGAAGGUCUAAUUGCUGUGAAACCCCCCUGCCUUGUUGGCAACUACUGUCAAGAACCAAGAUGCAACCACCGCCUGUUGAAUGUUUUAAUCAUCAAGGUCAUCAUCCAAAUCUAUGUUGCAGGAUCAGAGUUUGACAGCCUUCGAAGAUAACUGGAUCUCAUCACAUCAGAAGUCGGUUAGUAACAGAAAAAAUGGUUGAAUAUAUACUCCCGGUAAGUCCUGCGCUGGUUGUGCACAGCACGUGGUCAGGCAUUGUUUAUUUUGAAGAGGGUUUCAAGUGAAAAAAAGAUACGUCUCCUCUUGAGAGGAAUAGCAUAUUUAAUCAAUGCACAAGGUACCCCAAAGUUUAAAUGCUAAGCACAACUCACCAAUAGGUUUUCUCAAUGCCCUAUAAGAUCUUUGUGAUUUGGUCGGUCUUAUUUAU